rnacentral:tRNA from 1 species
GGGCUUGUGGCUCCAUGGCACAGCAUCUGUUUGGCAUGCAGGAGGCCCCAGGUUCAAUCCCCAGCAACCCCA